UAGUUGCAGAAAAAAAGAUGAAUAAUGACUGGGCUGAACCCAGUAUGAAAAAGAAGAAAUAAAGAAUCCCCAUAAUGAAGCCAUUGAAAUUACACUUGACAUUUAGAUGACACUCAGACAUUUAGAAAAGAACAAGUUGAGAUGGCUCUGAAAGUUUAACUGGAAAAUGAGGACACAAAUAAAGCUGCCUAACUGCUUGAUGGAGAUACAUCUCACCGGGCCC
rnacentral:lncRNA from 1 species